GAACUCUCUGAAUCGCAAGACCUUCUCCAAUAAUAAUCAUCUGCAACACUUAUUCUUGGCGACGACGUUGUUUCAUCAGAAUAAACUCUGCUUCUGGACAACGUCCUUACACGGAUCCUCGUGUCGCUUCCAAUACCUCCAGGUGAUCUAGCGGAUCUACAUCUCCUUAAUCUUUUACACAAUGGGGUCAAAAAAUCAAGAUACUUGAACAAAACCCAUUUCGACACUUUCAAUUUUAUAUAAGGAGACUUGUUCUUAAUGUCACGUGUUUCGAUCUUCUUCUCCUUUUUCGUAUCCAACGGCUUAUAUUCUUCCUCGGUAGCUGCUGACGUGGCUUUUGAUAUAUAAGGCACGACGUAGCCGUCGCGGAUAAGCUCGUCGGCGUGAACUAAAGAGUGAUCUUGGUCGGAGAAAGAGACAAAGUUAUCGAACUUAAAGCUACUUUCAUGGGCUUUGUUGAUGAAGAAUCUUCUU
rnacentral:lncRNA from 1 species